rnacentral:rRNA from 1 species
AUUAACGCGAAGAACCUUACCUGGACUAGAAUGUGAGGGGAUAUCGGGUAAUGCCGGUAGUCCGGGAAACCGGACCCAAAACAAGGUGCUGCAUGGCUGUCGUCAGCUCGUGUUGUGAGAUGUUGGGUUAAGUCCCGCAACGAGCGCAACCCUUGCUUUUAGUUGCUCAUCCGUAAGGAUAGCACUCUAAAUAGGACUGCCGGUGAUAAACCGGAGGAAGGUGGGGAUGACGUCAAGUCAUCAUGGCCUUUAUGCCCGGGGCUACACACGUGCUACAAUGGACGGUACAAAGGGCUGCUAACCCGCGAGGGGGAGCCAAUCCCAAAAAGCCGUUCUCAGUUCGGAUUGGAGUCUGCAACUCGACUCUAUGAAGGCGGAAUCGCUAGUAAUCGCGGAUCAGCAUGCCGCGGUGAAUACGUUCCCGGGUCUUGUACACACG